rnacentral:rRNA from 1 species
AAAUUGAAGAGUUUGAUCAUGGCUCAGAUUGAACGCUGGCGGCAGGCCUAACACAUGCAAGUCGAACGGUAACAGGAAGCAGCUUGCUGUUUCGCUGACGAGUGGCGGACGGGUGAGUAAUGUCUGGGAAACUGCCUGAUGGAGGGGGAUAACUACUGGAAACGGUAGCUAAUACCGCAUAACGUCGCAAGACCAAAGAGGGGGACCUUCGGGCCUCUUGCCAUCGGAUGUGCCCAGA